UACGUAGGGUGCGAGCGUUGUCCGGAAUUACUGGGCGUAAAGAGCUCGUAGGUGGUUUGUCGCGUUGUUCGUGAAAACCGGGGGCUUAACCCUCGGCGUGCGGGCGAUACGGGCAGACUUGAGUACUGCAGGGGAGACUGGAAUUCCUCGUGUAGCGGUGGAAUGCGCAGAUAUCAGGAGGAACACCGGUGGCGAAGGCGGGUCUCUGGGCAGUAACUGACGCUGAGGAGCGAAAGCGUGGGGAGCGAACAGG
rnacentral:rRNA from 1 species